GGAUGAUUGCAUUAGUGGGAGGGGAUUUCCUGGAGAUUACGAGCACUAUAAAAGCCGGGUGGAAGACCUGGCCUUCUCAGUCAUCCCAGAAACUCCUUUGUGCCCAGUGGAGUGGGCCCAGCAUCCACAUAUCUGAGUGGACAACGACAGACAGAGCAACAGAGUCCUUGGGACAGACCAACCCUGAUGGACCCCAAGAGACUUUCAAUGGAGCAUGGGAAAGAAUUAUUAAAGCAGUUUGGGAUUCCACAGAGAGAUGUAAGUGUGGGAGAGGUAGGGUAGAUGUCAUGUGGAGGAAUGAGGUGGCUUCCCAGUCUAGUGCUGGUCAGCUUCUCCUCCCAUGACCAUGACCAAAGGUAAAAGCCCAUGAUUGGCAACGCAGAUAUUUGGGCGCUGGCCAAUUACAGGGAUGUGCAGUGAUCAAUGGCCAUGGCGUAGGCAACUGCAGUGGCCUCAGUUUCCACCUGGGGACCGCCAGCAUUCCCUAAGCACAGCUCCCCCGCAUGGAGGUCAUUGGCAAACUUGCUCUUUAAUUGGAGGAAAGAGCACACUAAAUUCCAUGAUCUGAAGGCUUCCUCUUGUGUGCAGAACUUUAUGUCUUGAUUCUCUUUUCUCUCUGUCAGAUUGACUUGAUGACAGAGAAAUGGGUCGUUGAUGCUGCUGUGGAGGCUCUGUUACGGUUUCCUCUGAUGCCAGGAGAGGAUCCAAGUGCCCGCUGUGUCUCCAAUAAGAAAUAUCAGUCGUCAGUUGACCAGCCUCUCACAGCCUCUCAAAGACAUGAAGACCAAGAGGAGAAGUGGGACAAAUGUCGGGGAGUAAUGUGAGUAGGACAUGGGGGGAUUCCCUCUGGGGUGGAGUUGUGGGUCCCAGAGGCUUCUGACUUGUGUCUACCUUACAGUCACACAGGCUUUUCUUUGUGAGCUUUGCAUGUACAUGUGAGCUGGCACAGCAUCCUCAGCUUGUGUGUCCCUGUGUGGCUUCGUACAUGCCUCUCCUGAAAACCCACAUGUGGUUAUGGGGCUCACGCAUGCAGUUUCACAAGUGUUCAUUAGCUUCACAUCAAAUCUCUGCAAACCUUUGUCGGAGGAAGUGGCAGGUUUUCUCAGCAAGAUGUUCUAUGAAAAUUGUGAG
rnacentral:lncRNA from 1 species